UGCUUGUGUGUGGUUGUCCUAUAGGAGAAGGCAGAAUGCAGAGUGCCAUUAAUAUCAGGAAUAAUAUACAGCAAUUAUACAACGACAUUACAUGACACCACUUACAAUUUAAACCACAGUUCAAAGGCAUCACUUUCCUGCACAGUUUACUACAGAUACAGGCCCUAUUCUAAAGUACCACUAGGUGGCAGUAGUAACACAUUAAUGACUAGGCCAUUACUACAUAACUGAACCGUGGAAUCGCAAACAUCGGAAAGGGGUUGGGCAUAAUACUGACUAACAUGCACUGGCACCAUUUUAGGCUUUACUAACUAAUAAUCACUGUCAUACAAGGCUUAUACACUAAAAAGGCACACUUUAGUGCUAUAAUAACCUAAAUAGUAUACAUAGGCACACACAAACAUAAUACACUGGGUAUAUGUUAUUAACUCCUUUAUAUAACUAAAUGACUGCUGUGACCGCAACCUGUCGUCCACUACUAAAGGACUACAGCAGACGUGUCGCGGAUGUUUUUUUUCCAAAAUCACACGGGUAAGAAAGGAGAUCCAUGAAGUGAACAUGGACAGCAACUCUAAACCCGAGUUCUCGUGGAGUAAAGUCCCUGUAUUCGUGCUGUGGGAUUCCAGUUCCGUGUUUUACAGUAGCCAGACGGCGGGAGGAAUAUGCCAUGUGAACUACAGGUUGGAUGGGGCAGUGCAUUUCCUCAAAAUCAAGACGUCCCUGACAGUUGGAUCAUGGACAUGAGCGAGAUCUUAGAAUCGUCCAGCAGCGACAAGCAGGACACGGAAGGAAAGGAGAGUGUCUAGAAGAAGGUGCUAAGGGUGGUCACGCCAUCGUGGUGUCCUAACUCCUCGAUGGACUCAUAGUGGCCUUCCCUGCACAGACAGCCACAGACACGCUGGAUGACAUCAUGGCARGWAUGUGAGCAGUUACAGUAGAAGCUGGUUCUUCACUUUCCUAAAUUCUUCUAAUAACUACAAAUAGGGACAGUGUUCCCCAUCCUUUUCCUUAAUGCUGAACAUAGUUUCAAUACAUUUUCAACAUAAUUCACAAAUGGUUUUAAAUGAAAUCUUAAAUUCUAAUGUAAUAUGAUGUAGUUAUAAUUUGAAKGUUGACUCUUAUUAACACCUCUCUCUCUCCGCCUGUGACAGUAGUGGUGAGCAUCAGUGCCUAUGUUGAGCAUUACAACCUCACCCAUACCCACAGCACAAACGCCCAUCAACGCAGUGUCCCCACCCUCCCCCUGUGGACAAAGAUGUACAUAUACAGUACCAGUCAAAAGUUUGGACACACACUCAUUCAAGGCUUUUUCUUUAUUUUAACUUUUUUC